rnacentral:rRNA from 1 species
UCCCGCCUGCCCUGUGAUUUUUUUAACGGCCGCGGUAUCCUGACCGUGCGAAGGUAGCGUAAUCACUUGUCUUUUAAUUGAAGACCCGUAUGAAAGGCAUUACGAGAGUUUAUCUGUCUCUAUUUUCCAAUCAAUGAAAUUAGUCCUCUCGUGCAGAACCGAGAAUAAUAACAUAAGACGAGAAGACCCUAUGGAGCUUUAAACACUUGAGUUAUUUUUAAAACACCCAAACACCCUACGGACAUAAAUAAAAACUAAUUCUCUAACUUAACUUGUUUUUGGUUGGGGCGACCAAGGGGAAAAGAAAAACCCCCUUAUCGAAUGUGUGAGAUUCACUUAAAAACUAGAGCUACAGCUCUAAUUAAUAGAAAAUCUAACGAACAAUGACCCAGGAACAUUCCUAUUCCUGAUCAAUGAACCAAGUUACCCUAGGGAUAACAGCGCAAUCCUUUCUUAGAGUCCCCAUCGCCGAAAGGGUUUACGACCUCGAUGUUGGAUCAGGACAUCCUAAUGGUGCAACCGCUAUUAAGGGUUCGUUUGUUCAACGAUUAACAGUCCUACGUGAUUGAGU